AAUUGUCCCCAUGUCAACGAUUUGCCCCAACACUAGGUCUCCAGGGAUUUGGACCUCCAGCUGAUUUUGGCACAGGCCACCAAAAAAAGGCUGAUCCGUUUGGUCAGAUCAGCCCAAUAGCUUGGACCCAGGCAGUCUCACAGGUUUGGAUCUCUGAUAGAAAUUCAGGUUGCUUUUCUGCCCCUUUCACUGCUGUGAAUCAAAAUUCUGCAAACCCUAAUGCAAGGAAUAGAAAUGCAUAUUGAUUAAGGGCCUUUUAUGGAUGCCUUGCAGAGCAUAUUAAAAAUAAUUUAAAACUUGCAUUCUGGUCUUAAUGACUCUUGUCUCCAGCACUUUGCAGUGAUUCAGUCUUGACUUUUAAUUGAAACUCUUUAGUAAAGACAAAUUCCUUCAGCCAGAGAAGAUGAAGUACCCCUUCGGGCGUGUGCCCCAGAGUGGCUUUUGACCUCAAGGUUUCCAAAUUGCAAAGUGGCUGUAGCACUGCGGCUGAAGUCCAGAGAAGAGCUUCUGUCCUUUAAGUGAGUGCACGUGGGUUGUCCUCCAAGGAGCCAUUUCUUUUGACUUCCCCUCUGGGUGAUGCUGAUUUAAGCGCAGGGUUCUGCAGAACAAGUCUUUAGUGCUCCAAUGCUCAAGGCAAUCAUAGGGGAAAGAUUAGUAACCUCCCUCAGUGGGGCAGUAAAUGCACCCACAUGCUGGCACUCAGCAUGCUCUUACUUCCCAGUUUUGACAGCAUCAAUACAUACACGUGUGCUAAACAAAUCUGAGUCAAUUAUUGCUGUCACGAGGUUGAACACCCCAUACCUCCAUAGUCAUGUUUUCUUUUGCCUUUACAUCUCAUCCCAGGUGGCUUGUUCCUAGCCUUGAAGCUCAGAUGUGCAAGGGCACCUUGGCUUGAAAACAUCCCCAGAGAGGACAUGGCAUUUCUUAGAAGGAGCACCAAGAGAUGGCAUCUUGGGUCUAGAAGGAUGAAUAUGUCUCAGUUAGGUGGAGACAACUUCAUAUUUAAUAUUUGCUGGCUCCACGGUGGCUGGCAUAGGAGACAGGUUUCUACGUUGUACUUUUGGAUAGAAGAACAAGAUCUUGCAUGUUAUGGAGACUUACUUCAGUGUUAUGCCCCUGUUCCAUGAGUGGAGCCUUCAACAUGGGAAGAAAGAGAGUUUGUCUUUGUCUUCCUUUUGUCUCCAAGUAGAAAGAAGCCCACAAUAAAUGCAAGACCUCAGAGAGGUGGUGUGCUGUUGGGUCCAGUGCUCAUCCCACUGGGGUCAGUGUCUAUGUGGAAAGCUUGAACCCCAGCAGUCCUUCCUCUCACUGUUCUGUGAAGAGAGAGACAAUUGCAUCUUAAAACAUGCCUCUUCUUCUGAGCUCUUAAAGCAUCAGUGCUUUCCAUCCAGUCUCCAGUGGGACGAACCACUGAAUGUCAAUCAGUGCCUUCACACCCGUGCAGGGGUCCAGACCCUAUGAGGAACUCCAAGACCACAGGGAUUUCCACGCUGUCACCUGCUUUGUGGCAGCAGAGCAGGACAGGAAAGUCCCCAGUGCAUUGGAUGGGGCCUCUGACCAUGACAGCUAGAGAUUAGUGACUGGCCAUGACCUAUCAUGUCUCUGUUUUUUAAAAACCUUACUCCAUCUACUGAUUGGGUACUAUAUGAUAAUAUGAUUUUUUGCAGCUACACAUAAAAUGUGAACCAGCUGGGUUCCAAAGUGCUUCUCUCUACCAUGAGUGGUUUUCCUAUAGGUCUUGUCAAAGCCACUAGUCACUAAACACUUCCUCAGGGACUGAGUUUUCCAUCCAGGCCAUCACACACCAGUGCUUUGUGUUUACAUCCUGAGAGGAAUCACAACCAGCAGCACAGUUCAGGUGGUGGAUAAUCAUUACCCCAUAGAAGGGUAUGAAGUGAAAAUAUUUUGCUAAAUGCUGCAUUUUUUUCCUUAAAUAUUCAUUUUAUUCCUUUCCAGUUUUUAACAUCUUGCUGUCUUCCUUGUCCCACCCACUGCAAAGAAAGCCCCUCGUUUUGUCAACUCAAAAAAUCAGUUUCUUGACAACAGCUGUGAUGAGCCCCCAUCUUCACUGUCCUGCUCCUCGCAGGGACUCUCCUGAGAUGAUACAAACCUCUUGCUCCCUAAAUGGAACCAACCCAAUCUAGCAGAGAAGUUCCUUGUAGGGCAGCAUGGAACUCCUAAAUUUGAAGGUAAGCUCCAAGUCUCUUUAGGCUGAAUCUGCUGGAAAUGAACACCGGUUCAACUUCACAUCCAAAAAGGCUCGAUGCCUCCUUUUCUCCCAGCUGGUAAAAAUACUGCUCCUUAUCUGAUUGUGCCAUUUGCGGCAUUUUACAGAGCAAUUGAGCCAGGCUGUGUUUCCAAGGCUUGGUGGGGGUGCUGGUGUUGCCUUCACCUUGUGAGUCAGGCAGUAAUGAGCUUGACUCUCUGGUAAAACACUUGUCUGGUAAUCAUGGGGUUCAUCAGACAAUAAGGUAAGGGUUGUCACAUGUGCUGUCAAGGAGUUAAAAGUCAUAAGCUAAAUCUCCAAACUCCAAGCUGAGGCAUCCUCCAGAUCCAAUGUCCCCGUAUUUGCCUGAUUCUCUCAGAUUUUUAACAAAUAGUAAGAGCUACGAACUCCAGGAGUAGACAAGAGUGCAUUCACACAUAUCUUGAGGAUUGUGUGCAGUGCUCUAGUUUGGGUGUAAAGAGAGGACCUCGCCAAAGACUGACCAAAUUGUAGUUCCUUGUGCACAUGGGCAGAUCUGAACAUAGCCCUCAUGAAACAGACCAGCAAAUAACUAAACAUAUCCUACUCUUUUCUCCUCCCCAGGCUCCAGUGCUUGCAGGUGACGCAGCAGUACUGCAAGGCUUCCAGCAGGCAGUGAGUUAUGAUUAAAAAUAGUGGUUAUUUAUAAUAAAUGGAGCAUUCACAUGGAAAAAUCGGAGUGAUUCCUCUAAUCGUAACCUAAGGUGGCUGUGUGCUUAGGGGCACCCUUCCCUUGUUUUUGUAUCACAGCACUAUAACAUCAUAUUCUGAAAUGAUUUUCUAAUGAAGCGACUUCAGUUUCUUUUGCUUUGGAGUCAAGGAGUUUUGUUGUUCAAGGAGCAAGCAAGACUCAAACCAUCAGAGUGAAGUGUCCUACAGGCAUAGAAUAAUAGAAUGCUUCAAGUUGGAAGGUACCUUAGCAGAUCAUCCAGUCCAACCUCCACUGCAAUGACCAGGGAUAUCUUUAACUCCAUCAGGUGGCUCAGAGCUCCAUCCAACCCGACCUUGCAUGUUUCCAGGGAUGGCGGCUCCACUACCUCCUUGGGCAACCUGUGCCAGUGUUUCACCACCCUUCUCAUAAAAAAUGUCUUCCUUGUAUCCAGCCUAAACCUACCCUCCCUUAGUUUAAAACCCUUUGUUCUGGCACAACAGGCCCUGCUAAAAAGUCUGUCCUCAUCUGUCCUGUAAGCCCCCAUUAAGUACUGGAAGGCUGCUCUAAGGUCUCCCCAGAGCCUUCUCUUCUCCAGGCUGAACAACUCCAACUCUCUCAGCCUUUCCUCUUAUGGGGGUGCUUCAGCUCUCUGAUUAUGUUUGUGGCCCUAAUUCAUAAUUCAUAGCUGUGUUGAUUUCUCUCCUAGGCUACAGUGACAUCAGUAAAUAACAAAAGAUUGGAUCCUGUCAAAGAAAUCAAGGAGGAGAUAUCAGAGCAUCUGGAGUUUCCAAUGAGUGUGACCACAUCCUCCUUGAAUUCAGCAAGUCUUUAAAAGUGAACCACAAAGGAAACACAGAAAUGACUUAUUUAUGGGGAAAGAAAAGCUUUUGUUUUCUGUUGUUUUACAGAAUGCCAUUCUGGCACAACCCUGCUUCUUCUGGGGCCUCUGUGACGUAAGCAAAUCCUUAUUGUCCCAAAGGACAUACCCUCAGCCUCUCAUCUUUAAGACACAUUCCAUUGUCCUACCCUUAACAUAAGAUUAUAAUAUUUUCCUUACCCACCAAAAUAGAGAUGAAAAAUUAUUAAAUGUUUGUGUUCUUCUGCCGCUGGAGCAUGUGAAUACCCUGGCAGAAUAAGGAAACCAGAUCUCACCUGCUCUUCUCUCUUCAAGCUAGUGACAGACCACAUCAAGGCAUCUUCUUUGAUUUUCCAUUUCUCAGCUUCCAGCAACACCUGUCAGCAGCCCAUCUGUUGGAGAGAAAACCCGUUUGGCUCCACUUUGUAAUUGUUUAAGGAAAGGGACCGCAAAUGCUUACAUCAUUCAGGAGUGAAGUAAGAGCAAGAAGGACUGGAGGAAUGAACCACAGCUGAGGAGAACCAAAACCACCAAGGGCUUCUGUGGCUCUCUCACUGCUCUAUGGGAACCAGGAAGGAUGAAUCAUGAGGCAUGACAGUCUGCUUGCUCGUGGGACUGUGGGAUACCAGAUGCUCCCAAAUAAAGCGAUAUUCCAGGGAAUCCUUGGCCAUACUCAGAAGUGGUAUUUCCAGCCAAACAUACUGCUCAAGAGACCUAUCCACAGAAAGGACAGCCCACUGAUGCCAGAAUAUUGUCUAGUGUCCUUGGUCUUCAGACCGAUCAGUCAUUACUAUAUGCUCCUCCAAGUCUCUACAUAUACCUUGAAGGGCAUGGAUAGAGGUGGAACAUAAGUCCCGUGUUCCUAGCCUGCACUACUGACCAAUGGAAAAGUGGUCAGGAUGGACAGCUAUGAGUCCUGUCAUAUUGCUCCACAAAGGCUGUCUUGGGCCUCUUGCUCAGAUUUACUGGCACUACACUAUAUAGCCGAGUGAAGUUGCUCAAGAGUUCAAGUGUGUGGGAUGCUCUUCCAGUGAGUUUCAUAGGAAGGAGCACAGACAAGGGCAGUCUUGUCCUGAAUAGGAUCAGAGAGCUUUGUCAUGGCUGAUGGUUAUGCAAAAAGUGGCCAAAAUAUGGCAGUAGAUCAGGAAAGGCUGGGUGAGUAUCCAGCAGAAAAGGGCAAACCCAAGUCAUUUUGCAGGGAAUGACAGAGUUAUCUAGAGAUUUGGAGUACAGAGAGCAGAAGGGUUGGUGGAGGGCUUGGAGGAGGUGAGUCUGGGCUAUCUGGGCGAUUAGCAGAACAGCAGAGAGAUCUUAUGGUAGGAAAUCUUUCAAACUAUACAAAAUCUUUAGAAACAGCAAAACAGAGUCAUUUUAUACGAGGUUAGAGAUCUGGUUGUUGUGGUUGUGGUGUUUAGAUCUGGCCCUAAAACUCAAAUGACAGUACUCUUUGAUGGUGGUGGCUUUAUGUGCUUUGACAAUCUCACAUAUAUUCUGCAGCAUAAUUGGUCUAAAAUAAAUUUUCCUCAUUUUUGUUGUGCCAGCGUCAGUCAGACCUCCUAAGUUUUGUAACCUGCUUGUUUACACUGCUUCAAGUGAUAUCAGUGUUAGGUCUCUGGAUGUGGUAGUGCCUUUCACCGCAUUCUUCCUUUAGGUUUUUUUUUCUGUCUUUUCCGCUCCAUCCCUGACAGGGGAAGCACUGUUCUUUCCGUGCUCCUUGUUUCUGUUUGAAGGAGUCAUAGAAAAAGU